rnacentral:rRNA from 1 species
UACAGAGGUCUCAAGCGUUGUUCGGAUUCAUUGGGCGUAAAGGGUGUGUAGGUGGGCGCGCUAAGUCGGGUGUGAAAUUUCGGAGCUUAACUCCGAAACUGCAUUCGAUACUGGCGUGCUUGAGGACUGGAGAGGAGACUGGAAUUCAUGGUGUAGCAGUGAAAUGCGUAGAGAUCAUGAGGAAGACCAGUGGCGAAGGCGGGUCUCUGGACAGUUCCUGACACUGAGACACGAAGGCCAGGGGAGCAAACGGG